rnacentral:rRNA from 1 species
GACGAACGCUGGCGGCGUGCUUAACACAUGCAAGUCGAGCGGAAAGGCCAUGCUUUUGUGGGGUGCUCGAGAGGCGAACGGGUGAGUAACACGUGAGUAUCCUGCCCUUGUAUUAGGGAUAACUCCUGGAAACUGGGGCUAAUACCGGGUAGGAGCUCCUGCUGCACGUUGGGGGUUGGUAAGAUGCGGCGGUAGGGGAUGGAUGCGAGGUUUAUGAGCUGGUUGGGGGGGUAGUGGAUGACCAAGGCUUUGACGGGUAGCCGGCAUGGGAGGGUGACCGGGCACAAGGGUACUGCGGUACGGCGCAGAAGGCUACGGGAGGCAGUAGUGGGAAAUAUGGCAGAAUGGGGGGAAGCCAGAGGCAGCAACGCCGCGUGCGGAAUGAUGUCCUUCGGGGUGUAAACAGAUGUGGCCUGUGACGAAGCCGGAGUGACGGUAAUGGGUAAAGAAGCACCGGCUAACUACGUG